rnacentral:rRNA from 1 species
UUCUACGUCCAUGCCACCCUGAGCAAGCCUGAUCCUGUCUGAUCUCAGAAGCUAAGCAAGGUUGGGCCUGAUUAGUACUUGGAUGGGAGACCACCUGGGAAGACCAGGUGCUGUAGGUG